GACAGAGGGGGCAAGCGUUGCUCGGAAUCACUGGGCGUAAAGGGCGCGUAGGCGGGAUGGCAAGUCGGUCGUGAAAUCCCUCGGCUCAACCGAGGAGCGUCGGCCGAUACUGCCGUUCUUGAGGGAUGCAGAGGAGACUGGAAUUCCCGGUGUAGCGGUGAAAUGUGUAGAGAUCGGGAGGAACAUCGGUGGCGAAGGCGGGUCUCUGGUCCACAACUGACGCUGAGGUGCGAAAGCUAGGGGAGCAAACGGG
rnacentral:rRNA from 1 species